GAAAAAAUAAAUCGAUACGUUGCUUAGUUCCCUUGAAGCUCAGGCACACUGAACUCGAAACAAUUUAAAUCAUCGAUCCUUCUUAUAUGUACCAAAUCGAUAUUUUUCUUCUUUAUGAAAAUGCAACAAUGAGAAGAAUCACCGACAAGGACGAUCUUCAGUUUUCUUACCACUAGCUCCUCCUCGAUGUCAGACAUUGGGAAGAUCGGGAUAAAAGGAGCGCGAGAGGAAGAAAUACGACGAGAUACAAAAAGCUUCGGAUUAUCAUGCGAAAAGUCGUGUCGGCCACGACGGUUCUACGUCGACUAUAAUACAACAUAUAAACGAAGGGUCUGGCAUGUGGCUAGAGAAUGAAAUCGAGCGAAUCGACCGACCGGCCGUGGCCAGUGCAACGUCGUCGUCUAUAUAGCUGCUUGAAUAAAUUAACGAAUAAUCGAUACCACACGAACAGGUAUCAUGCGUACCUCUGCUCGCCUAUUACUCUCGGCAAACUUUUUUCUAUGACAAUGUGUCGAUUAAUUAUGAAUCUUGUGAUACAAUGGAUUCUUGUCUUUUUAAGUGUCAAGGUUUUUCGUAAUGGUUUUCAUUGAUCACAUAAUUAUCCUUUUUUAUCGAUUCAUUAUUUUUAGCUUUUUUUCCCUUUCUUAGUACACUAAUGUCAUCAAAUGAUUUGAAUUUUAAGAUUCAAAAUAAACUUAUUUACUCAUGUA